AGAAUAAGCACCGGCUAACUCCUGUGCCAGCAGCCGCGGUAAUACGGAGGGUGCAAGCGUUAAUCGGAAUUACUGGGCGUAAAGCGCACGCAGGCGGUUGGAUAAGUUAGAUGUGAAUCCCCGGGCUCAACCUGGGAACUGCAUCCAAAACUGUCCAGCUAGAGUAUGGUAGAGGGGGGUAGAUUCCAGGU
rnacentral:rRNA from 1 species